GGUGGCUCAGAGGUAGAGCGCUUGCCUUGCAAGCCUGAGGCCUGGGUUCGAUUCCUCAGCACCA
rfam:Dipodomys ordii contig_73893, whole genome shotgun sequence.